rnacentral:rRNA from 1 species
AUUGAACGCUGGCGGCAGGCUUAACACAUGCAAGUCGAGCGGAGAGAGGUAGCUUGCUACUGAUCUUAGCGGCGGACGGGUGAGUAAUGCUUAGGAAUCUGCCUAUUAGUGGGGGACAACAUUUCGAAAGGAAUGCUAAUACCGCAUACGUCCUACGGGAGAAAGCAGGGGAUCUUUGGACCUUGCGCUAAUAGAUGAGCCUAAGUCGGAUUAGCUAGUUGGUGGGGUAAAGGCCUACCAAGGCGACGAUCUGUAGCGGGUCUGAGAGGAUGAUCCGCCACACUGGGACUGGGACACGGCCCAGACUCCUACGGGAGGCAGCAGUGGGGAAUAUUGGACAAGGGGCGGAAGCCUGAUCCAGCCAUGCCGCGUGUGUGAAGAAGGCCUUAUGGUUGUAAAGCACUUUAAGCGAGGAGGAGGCUACUUUAGUUAAUACCUAGAGAUAGUGGACGUUACUCGCAGAAUAAGCACCGGCUAACUCUGUGCCAGCCGCCGCAGUAAUAC